UAACACAUGCAAGUCGAGCGAAGCACUUUACUUAGAUUUCUUCGGGAUGAAGAGUAUUGUGACUGAGCGGCGGACGGGUGAGUAACGCGUGGGUAACCUGCCUCAUACAGGGGGAUAACAGUUAGAAAUGACUGCUAAUACCGCAUAAGACCACAGCACCGCAUGGUGCAGAGGUAAAAACUCCGGUGGUAUGAGAUGGACCCGCGUCUGAUUAGCUGGUUGGUGGGGUAACGGCCUACCAAGGCGACGAUCAGUAGCCGGCCUGAGAGGGCGACCGGCCACAUUGGGACUGAGACACGGCCCAAACUCCUACGGGAGGCAGCAGUGGGGAAUAUUGCACAAUGGGGGAAACCCUGAUGCAGCGACGCCGCGUGAAGGAAGAAGUAUUUCGGUAUGUAAACUUCUAUCAGCAGGGAAGAAAAUGACGGUACCUGACUAAGAAGCCCCGGCUAACUACGUGCCAGCAGCCGCGGUAAUACGUAGGGGGCAAGCGUUAUCCGGAUUUACUGGGUGUAAAGGGAGCGUAGACGGAGAGGCAAGUCUGAUGUGAAAACCCGGGGCUCAACCCCGGGACUGCAUUGGAAACUGUUUUUCUAGAGUGUCGGAGAGGUAAGCGGAAUUCCUAGUGUAGCGGUGAAAUGCGUAGAUAUUAGGAGGAACACCAGUGGCGAAGGCGGCUUACUGGACGAUGACUGAC
rnacentral:rRNA from 1 species